AGAGACAGCAGCGCCACGGUAAUACGUAGGGCGCAAGCGUUGUCCGGAAUUAUUGGGCGUAAAGAGCUCGUAGGCGGUCUGUCGCGUCUGGUGUGAAAUCCCGAGGCUCAACCUCGGGCUUGCAUCGGGUACGGGCAGACUAGAGUGCGGUAGGGGAGACUGGAAUUCCUGGUGUAGCGGUGGAAUGCGCAGAUAUCAGGAGGAACACCGAUGGCGAAGGCAGGUCUCUGGGCCGCAACUGACGCUGAGGAGCGAAAGCAUGGGGAGCGAACAGGAUUAGAUACCCCUGUAGUCCCUGUCUCUUAUACA
rnacentral:rRNA from 1 species